UGGGGAAUUUUGGACAAUGGGGGCAACCCUGAUCCAGCAAUGCCGCGUGAGUGAAGAAGGCCUUCGGGUUGUAAAGCUCUUUUGUCAGGGAAGAAACGGUGAGGGCUAAUAUCCUUUGCUAAUGACGGUACCUGAAGAAUAAGCACCGGCUAACUACGUGCCAGCAGCCGCGGUAAUACGUAGGGUGCAAGCGUUAAUCGGAAUUACUGGGCGUAAAGCGUGCGCAGGCGGUUAUGUAAGUCAGAUGUGAAAUCCCCGGGCUCAACCUGGGAAUGGCAUUUGAGACUGCAUGGCUAGAGUGUGUCAGAGGGGGGUAGAAUUCCACGUGUAGCAGUGAAAUGCGUAGAGAUGUGGAGGAAUACCGAUGGCGAAGGCAGCCCCCUGGGAUAACACUGACGCUCAUGCACGAAAGCGUGGGGAGCAAACAGG
rnacentral:rRNA from 1 species